rnacentral:rRNA from 1 species
AUGGCUGUCGUCAGCUCGUGCCGUGAGUGUUGGGUUAAGUCCCGCAACGAGCGCAACCCCUGUUGUUAGUUGCCAUCAGGUCAUGCGUGGGGACUUAACAAGACUCGCCCGCGCAAGCGGAGAGGAAGGGGGACGACGUCAAGUCAUCAUGGCCCUUACGCCCAGGGCGACGCACGUGCUACAAUGGCGCAUACAGCGGGUAGCUAUCCGGCAACGGAAUGCCAACCUCUAAAAGUGCGUCUCAGUUCGGAUCGGGGCCUGCAACCCGGCCCCGUGAAGCUGGAAUCGCUAGUAAUCGCGCAUCAGCCAUGGCGCGGUGAAUACGUUCCCGGACCUUGUACACACC